CCUGGGAGGGAAGGCGGGCUGGUGUGGAUCAGUUAAGAUGCUUUUAGCUACAAGUCACAGGACAGGAUAUGAAAGUGACGUGAACCAGAGCUUCCCGGCCUUUAUCUCCUCGUGGUAACUGUGGAAAAUGACACGCCUCACUAAAAUAAGGAGAGAACUGAGGGGUCCAUAUCCUGAGUGCCCAAAAUGGUCUCAGCAGGCGGCAUGCACGGCCCCAUGGCAGGACGCGCUGACUGAGGCCCAGGAGCUCAUCGGAGCCCUCAGUCCCAGGUCAACGGGCCUCAGGUGGCCCCUCUGGGAUUCUCUUUUCUCCUAAUGGCUCCGCAAUGGCUGCAGACACUCCCACCAUCCCCUGAGAAGGCCAAAAGGUG
rnacentral:lncRNA from 1 species